GAUGAACGCUGGCGGCGUGCCUAAUACAUGCAAGUCGAGCGAACGGACGAGAAGCGUGCUUCUCUGAUGUUAGCGGCAGACGGGUGAGUAACACGUGGAUAACCUACCUAUAAGACUGGGAUAACUUCGGGAAACCGGAGCUAAUACCGGAUGAUAUUUUGAACCGCAUGGUUCAAAAGUGAAAGACGGUCUUGCUGUCACUUAUAGAUGUAUCCGCGCUGCAUUAGCUAGUUGGUAAGGUAACGGCUUACCAAGGCAACGAUGCAUAGCCGACCUGAGAGGGUGAUCGGCCACACUGGAACUGAGACACGGUCCAGACUCCUACGGGAGGCAGCAGUAGGGAAUCUUCCGCAAUGGGCGAAAGCCUGACGGAGCAACGCCGCGUGAGUGAUGAAGGUCUUCGGAUCGUAAAACUCUGUUAUUAGGGAAGAACAUAUGUGUAAGUAACUGUGCACAUCUUGACGGUACCUAAUCAGAAAGCCACGGCUAACUACGUG
rnacentral:rRNA from 1 species